UACGUAGGGGGCAAGCGUUGUCCGGAAUUAUUGGGCGUAAAGAGCGUGUAGGCGGCCAGAUAAGUCCGCUGUGAAAUCUCGAGGCUCAACUUCGAGCUGUCGGUGGAAACUAUCUGGCUAGAGUCCGGAAGAGGAGAAUGGAAUUCCUGGUGUAGCGGUGAAAUGCGCAGAUAUCAGGAAGAACACCCCGUGGCGAAAGGCGG
rnacentral:rRNA from 1 species